rnacentral:rRNA from 1 species
UACGUAGGGUGCGAGCGUUAAUCGGAAUUACUGGGCGUAAAGCGUGCGCAGGCGGUUAUAUAAGACAGAUGUGAAAUCCCCGGGCUCAACCUGGGAACUGCAUUUGAGACUGCAAGGCUAGAGUGUGUCAGAGGGAGGUGGAAUUCCGCGUGUAGCAGUGAAAUGCGUAGAGAUGCGGAGGAACACCGAUGGCGAAGGCAGCCUCCUGGGAUAACACUGACGCUCAUGCACGAAAGCGUGGGGAGCAAA